rnacentral:snRNA from 2 species
AUACCUUUCUCGGCCUUUUGGCUAAGAUCAAGUGUAGUAUCUGUUCUUAUCAGUUUAAUAUCUGAUAUGUGGGCCAUUGGCCCACUCGAUAUUAAUCUUAUUUUUUAUGGGGAAAGACCCAUCACAAUAGCUUGCUAUUGGGGUCUUUGAGCGUUGCUUUGGCGUUGCACUACUGCCUUGGCCUGGCGCACCUCUC